rnacentral:lncRNA from 9 species
GUUCCUUUUUAAGCUUUGAAAAAAGAGACAACCCAUCCUCUGUGAAAAUUCAAGCAGAGUUUCAUUUAUUCUUUACCAUGGAAGAUCCCCUUUGAAGCAGGAACUAACUUAUGAUAUCAAAAAUGUAAAUCCACCCUCAAUGCACAGAUUAAGUCUUCAUUUUUCUCUCUUAAAUGCAACUACCAGUUCUCUUGUUUGAAAUAUACGGUGGGGUCCAUCCACCUGUUUCAAAUACAGCCUCUAUCCUUGACCUGAGGUCCCCCCAGCCAUAUUUAUCCCAGCCUACACUGGAAAGGGGGUGUUAUAAGGCAACUCUCUGCUGGAGUAAGCUGUCAUCAUUUAAAACUGAACUGUGUUCUUUCAUUCUAGCUCAUAAUUUAAGAAACAGAGGGGAGUCAAGGGGGAGAGAGGAAAGGAAGAGAAGAGAAGAGAAAAGAAGAGAAGAUUAAAGAAAGGAAGAGAAAAGAAAAGACAAGAAGAGAUAAGAAGACUCCUAUGUGACUAUGCUGAGUUUCAUUACCUAGACAUAUCUUCAAAGACAUGAUAUUUUUUUCCGAAUGUUCUAAAAACGGAUGCCAUGUAUCAGCUAAAAAUAUGGUAAUUAACCAGUAUGCCUUGAAACACAUAAUAGCAAAUGUCAUUUUCCCCGCAGGAGAGGAGUGUUACUCCUAAGAUUUAAGCUAAUCGGAAACCAGCUGCGCCUAACAGGAGCCAACAGGGCACCUCCAACUUGGCAGGUAGAUCCAGUCUCCUGUGGCAAACAGUCCAUAAAGUGCUCCAGAGCAACUGCAGCUGUGGGGCCCUACUUGGGGGUCAAAGAGGUUUCCAAAAUCUCGCCCCCUGAGCUGGGAUUCACACACAGCUUUCCAGCGAUUAGGAAGCAACAUGCGAUCUUCUCGGCUCAGGUUGGAGGCUGACAAAAGACAGAAAGCGCCACUGAGGUGCAUUCUUUCCAUUAGUAGCUUCCAAUUAAGAGAGAACUGGGAUUUCGUAGCCCUGGUUAUCCCAGUGGUCUCCAGCAAUCAUCUGCUUCGUGCUGUCUUGAUUAAUUAUUCCUUUAUGGAUGAAAGUCAGGAAACACCAAGAGGGGAAACUUGCAGCAGAGGAAACGCAAAACCUUGGAUUCCCUUCUUGAUGCAGAGCCAUGUCAAGGAAAGCAAAACCCGGGCGGUAUUGUGCUUCUAAGAUGGUGGAUCAGCAGAGACGAGAGGAGUGGAACAGAAGAAACCACAAGAGCAGUGAUCAAA